rnacentral:lncRNA from 1 species
AGUUCCACCACAAAUGAGGUUGUGUUGUGUUUGUGUCCAGGCUAGUGUCGGUCUGCCGCUGUGGGCCAGAGGCUUGCCGGCCAGACCUUUGUUUUCCUUUGCUCUGCUUUUCUCUCUUCUACUCGUCUUUCUCUAUUUCUGAUUGGGAUAAUUGAGAUAAGUGGUCAACUUCCUGAUUCCCUUGUGCACCCGGGUGAGUGUCAGGGUUUGUUUGAGUUCACUGCUUUUCGAGCGUUUAAUGAGAGACAGCCACAGUUUCCUCCAGGACCUGAGCCCUAGGACCAUGCCUCAGGACUACCUGGCUUGAUGACUCCUUGCUGUCCCCAGUCCACCUGGCCGUGCUGCUGCUCCAGUUUCAACUGUUCUGCCUGCGGCUAUGGAACCCUGACCUGUUCACCGGACGUGCUUGUUGCACCCUUGACAACUACUAUGAUAUUAUUAUUUGACCAUGCUGGUCAUUUAUGAACAUUUUAACAUCUUGACCAUGUUCUGUUAUAAUAUCCACCCUGCACAGCCAGAAGAGGACUGGCCACCCCUCAUAGCCUGGUUCCUCUCUAGGUUUCUUCCUAGGUUUUUGGCCUUUCUAGGGAGUUUUUCCUAGGGAGUUUUUCCUAGCCACCGUGCUUCUUUCACAUGCUUUGCUUGCUGUUUGGGGUUUUAGGCUGGGUUUCUGUACAGCACUUUGAGAUAUCAGCUGAUGUACGAAGGGCUAUAUAAAUAAAUUUGAUUUGAUUUUGAUUUGAUUUGACAGUGUCACCAGCAAAGCACCGCCACACCAUCACACCUCCUCCUCCAUGCUUCACGGUGGAAACCACACAUGCGGAGAUCAUCCGUUCACCUACUCUGCGUCUCACAAAGACACGGCGGUUGGAACCAAAAAUUUCCAAUUUGGACUCCAGUCGAAUGUCCAUUGCUCAUGUUUCUUGGCCCAAGCAAGUCUCUUCUUCUUAUUUGUGUCCUUUAGUAGUGGUUUCUUUGCAGCAAUUUGACCAUGAAGGUCUGAUUCACGCAGUCUCCUCUGAACAGUUGAUGUUGAGAUGUUUCUAUUACUUGAACUCUGUGAAUGUCACGUCCUGACCAGCAGAGAGAGUAAUUGUAUUAGUUUUGGUCAGGGCGUGGCAGAGGGUUUGUGUUUUGUAUGUAUUUCUACGUUCUGUCUAGUUUAGUUUUUCUAUGUUUAGGAUUGGGUGUUGGACUCUCAAUUGGAGGCAGGUGUUUCUAGUUGCCUCUGAUUGAGAGUCCUAUAUAGAGGUGUGUGUUUGGUUUGGUAUUUUGUGGGUUGUUGUCUUUAGCACUGCUGUUAUGUGUAUAGCCUGUUUAACUGUCGGUCUGUCGUUCUUCGUUUUGUUGUUUUGGUGUUCACUUUAUUUAAAAUAAAUAUUAAAAAUGAGCAUCCACAUUCCUGCUGCGUUUUGGUCCUCUCUACCCGAAGACAGCCGUUACAGAACUACCCACCACAAAAGGACCAAGCAGCGGAGUAAGGAGCAAUGGGAAUUCGAUAUGGACUGGCGGGAGAAAUGGACCUGGGAGGAGAUUCUGGACGGGGCAGGACCUUGGCAUCAAGCUGGGGAAUACCGUCGCCCAAGGGAAGAGAUAGAGGAGGCCAAGGCAGAGAGGC